CCUACGGGAAGCAGCAGUGGGGGAUAUUGCACAAUGGGGGAAACCCUGAUGCAGCGACGCCGCGUGGGUGAAGAAGUAUUUCGGUAUGUAAAGCCCUAUCAGCAGGGAAGAAAGAAGACGGUACCUGACUAAGAAGCCCCGGCUAACUACGUGCCAGCAGCCGCGGUAAUACGUAGGGGGCGAGCGUUAUCCGGAUUCACUGGGUGUAAAGGGAGCGUAGACGGCCGUGCAAGCCAGGAGUGAAAGCCCGGGGCCCAACCCCGGGACUGCUCUUGGAACUGUGCGGCUGGAGUGCGGGAGGGGCAGGCGGAAUUCCUGGUGUAGCGGUGAAAUGCGUAGAUAUCAGGAGGAACACCGGCGGCGAAGGCGGCCUGCUGGACCGCGACUGACGUUGAGGCUCGAAAGCGUGGGGAGCGAACAGGAUUAGAUACCCCAGUAGUC
rnacentral:rRNA from 1 species